rnacentral:rRNA from 1 species
UUUAACUGAGCGUUCAGUUACUUGACGUAGACCCGAAACCGGGCGACCUACCCAUGAGCAGGAUGAAGCGAAAGUAAAAUUUCGUGGAGGUCCGAACCCACGAGCGUUGAAAAGCUCGGGGAUGACUUGUGGGUAGCGGUGAAAUUCCAAUCGAGCCCGGAGAUAGCUGGUUCUCCCCGAAAUAGCUUUAGGGCUAGCCUCAAGGUGAGAGAUACGGAGGUAGAGCACUGAAUGUCCUAGGGGGUAUUGCACCUACCGAAGACUAUCAAACUCCGAAUGCCGUCAUCUUAUACUUGGGAGUCAGACUGUGGGUGAUAAGAUUCAUAGUCGAAAGGGCAACAGCCCAGAUCGUCAGCUAAGGUCCCUAAAUGUAAGUUAAGUGGUAAAGGAUGUGGGAUUGCACAGACAACCAGGAUGUUGGCUUAGAAGCAGCCACUCAUUCAAAGAGUGCGUAAUAGCUCACUGGUCGAGUGAUCCUGCGCCGAAGAUUUCCGGGGCUAAAACUUACUACCGAAGCUACGGCAUCAGUAAUGAUGGGUAGGGGAGCUUCCCAUACGGGUUGAAGCAUGACCGUAAGGACAUGUGGACAGUAUGGGAGUGAGAAUGUUGGCAUGAGUAGCGAGAUGUGGGUGAGAAUCCCACAGGCCGUAAACCCAAGGUUUCCAGGGGAAGGUUCGUCCGCCCUGGGUUAGUCGGGACCUAAGCUGAGGCCGAAAGGCGUAGGUGAUGGACAACAGGUUGAUAUUCCUGUACUACCGAUAACCGUUUGAGAGAAGGGAUGACACAGUAGGAUAAGCUAAGCACACUGUUGGUUAUGUGUGCCCAAGCAUUGAGGCAGUCAAAGUAGGCAAAUCCGCUUUGAUAAUGCUGGGAUGUGAUGGGGAGCGAAAUUUAGUAGCGAAGUAGCUGAUUUCACACUGUCAAGAAAAGUCUCUAUCGAGGUUAAAGGUACCCGUACCGCAAACCGACACAGGUGGGUGAGGAGAGUAUC